UAGAGUAAAGAGCAAAGGCCUAUUUACAGAGCAUUGAAUCCACGCUUUCACUUCACGAGUACAGAAACUGAGGCAGCUUGCCAAGGGAUCCAGUCUGCCUGGUAGUGGUGUAGAGAGCAGAAGCCAGGUCUCCUAACAGCACAUCACAGGUGCUUUCUCUGCCCUGUAGGACACACUGGAGAGAGAUGACCCUCUGAAGGCUGUGUUACCCUGAGGAUCUGGGCACAAUACCCUCAGCCAGCCCAAUGGCCGUAGACGCACAGAAGGCAAGCCCAGCCAUGUGGAAGGGAGAGGCUUCUGAGCCUGUGUACAAAAAGGAUCCUUGGAGGAACCAUUCAUCCUGACCAGCCCCCUCCCACUCUUUGCCUGAAACUUAAUUAAUCAUGUUUGCAUCUGGAUUCAGACAAGACAAUAGCGAGGAUGUGUUUUUGGUUAGGAACUGAAGCUGCAUUCGCCGAGGAAUGUUGAUUAGUUAGUGGCUCUGAUUAUGGGAUGAUCCAUCAGGCUGUCUCAGCGUCUUCAUGCGGCCCUUCAGCAGCCAGAGGCUUUCCAGGAAGUGCCCUGGAUCUGGGAAAAGCGAGCACAGGAAGUAUGUCUUAAUGUAUACAACAUGCCCAUAUGUGUAGAACAUGUCAAAUCACAGAUGGUAAGUCAUGGCAGAUAAGCAAAGUUCGAAAUAUGUGACAGGCGUGGAAAUCUAUCUACCUGACCAGCAGCCCUCAAGCUAGACUUCCCUUGCAGACAAAAGUGAUGGGACCAUAGAAGACAGUGAGAUGCCCCUUCCUUCCUUCCGGUCAAGGGCCUUUCCAGCUCUGUUCCAAGCUUGGUGCAGGUAUCCAAGGAUACACCUGCCUGAGAGGGGAGCAAGAACAAGAUGCUGCAAGAUGCUCAGAUGUAGGUUGGCCUUCACUGUCACUGAUUUCCAAUACCAGUAGCCCAAAGGAACCACAGGGCUCACUAUGGGAGAAGAUGUCUGGGGAAAAUCAGGAGACUUGAGACCUAUUUGGGUCACACCAGUUUCCAAAGAUGUUCAGAUCAGCUGAGGUAGUGGUUGACUUGACCUGAGCCCAGCCACGUUGACUCUGCUUACUUUGCUCCUGACUUGUGGCAGAGAGGGCCGACUGAAGAUAAGAUAUGAAGCUGGUGACUGACCUGAGAACCAACAUGCUAAGGUGUCAACCAAACAAUAAACG